UUACACCAACUACGAAAGUUGUAAUUUUCGCUUCCCGAAUGAGAUGCGAAAGUAUAAAAAUUCAACUCUCAGUUAGCCACGACAUCACAAGAGGUGCGAAAAUACUUUCGCCUCCUAACAGAGGAGCGAAAGUACUUUCGCCCCUCAAACGAGGAUGCGAAAUUGUUAUUUUCAUGCUUCGGGGCCGAAAAUGAGGGCAAUUU